CAAUAGCGUAUAUUAAAGUUGUUGCAGUUAAAAAGCUCGUAGUUGGAUUUCUGGUGGGAGCGAUCGGUCUGGCGCUUAGCGCGAGUACUUGCAUCGUCUCCGGCCAUCCUUGGGGAAAGUCUGUCUGGCAUUAAGUUGUCGGGCAGAGGAUCCUCAUCGUUUACUGUGAAAAAAUUAGAGUGUUCAAAGCAGGCUUAUGCCGUUGAAUAUAUUAGCAUGGAAUAAUAAGAUAGGACUUUGGUACUAUUUUGUUGGUUUGCGCACCAAAGUAAUGAUUAAUAGGGACAGUUGGGGGUAUUCGUAUUCCGUUGUCAGAGGUGAAAUUCUUGGAUUUACGGGAGACGAACUACUGCGAAAGCAUUUACCAAGGAUGUUUUCAUUAA
rnacentral:rRNA from 1 species